rnacentral:rRNA from 1 species
GUGUCAGCAGCCGCGGUAAAACGUAGGAGGCGAGCGUUAUCCGGAUUUACUGGGCGUAAAGGGCAAGUAGGCGGUAGCCAAAGUUGGGUGUGACAUCUCCCGGCUCAACUGGGAGGGGCCACUCAAGACUAGGCAACUAGAGGGCAGGAGAGGGAAGUGGAAUUCCUAGUGUAGCGGUGAAAUGCUCAGAUAUUAGGAAGAACACCAGUGGCGAAGGCGGCUUCCUGGCCUGUACCUGACGCUGAGAGGCGAAAGCUAGGGGAGCAAACGGGCUUAGAUAUCCCGGUAGUCCUAGCCGUAAACAUUGGAUACUGGGUAUUAGGGGGCUAAAAUCCCUUAGUGCCGAAGCAAACGCGUUAAGUAUCCCGCCUGGGGACUACGACCGCAAGGUUAAAACUCAAAGGAAUUGACGGGG